CCUUCGAUAGCUCAGCUGGAAGAGCGUGGGACUGUAAAGGAUACAUGCCAUCCCGAGGUCGCUGGUUCGAGCCCGGCUCGAAGGA